GAUCCUGGCUCAGGAUGAACGCUAGCUACAGGCUUAACACAUGUAAGUCGAGGGGCAGCAUUUCAGUUUGCUUGCAAACUGGAGAUGGCGACCGGCGCACGGGUGAGUAACACGUAUCCAACCUGCCGAUAGCUCGGGGAUAGCCUUUCGAAAGAAAGAUUAAUACCCGAUGGUAUAAUUAGACCGCAUGGUCUUGUUAUUAAAGAAUUUCGGUUAUCGAUGGGGAUGCGUUCCAUUAGGCAGUUGG
rnacentral:rRNA from 1 species